AGCUGUGGGUAGGGGUGAAAGGCCAAUCAAACUCCGUGAUAGCUGGUUCUCCCCGAAAUGCAUUUAGGUGCAGCGUCACGUGUUUCUUCCCGGAGGUAGAGCUACUGGAUGGACGAUGGGCCCUACAAGGUUACUGACUUCAGCCAAACUCCGAAUGCCGGGAAGUGAGAGCGUGGCAGUGAGACUGUGGGGGAUAAGCUUCAUAGUCGAGAGGGAAACAGCCCAGACCACCGGUUAAGGCCCCUAAGCGUGUGCUAAGUGGAAAA
rnacentral:rRNA from 1 species